CCACCGCCCCGACUUUCGCAGACCCCGCCCUCUCCGGAGGCACCGUAAAGGGAGUGAGAGACAGGCAGGCGGGGCUCUUCCGAGACCGCGGGGCGUGAGGCCAUCGGCCAAUCCUGUCUCCUGGCAGCUUCCCGUCCUAGCUAACGGAAGCGGCUCCCGACGCGGGCGGAGGGGCCUCUAGGUGCUGUCCAGGCCUCGGGGUGAGAGGGAGGGUAACGUCUGGAACGCCGCGGCGUUCUUCACCCCUGCUGGUGGAGGAGAGGGGCCCUGGGAGGUCGGUGCCCGACCUUCGCUAGGGAGCCCGGAACAGUCCACUCUCCAUCCUGCGGGAAAUCCUUUCUUCUAAGGGCCCUGUAGGCUUUCGUGGUGCAGAGACAAAGGAGUAAGGUGGAUGGGGAAAGUCUCAUUGCUCGCACGCACAGGACUCUAGCAGAGCUUUACCCUUAGGUGACCGAGGAGUCCGGGUGACACUGUGUCCAGUGCCAAGGGUGCGCCACUGCGUGCACUAGCGCGCUCUGGGGCGGGUCCCUUGGCUUCUGGGCAGCAGCCUGGUGUGUGCAGACUGAGGACGUAAAACUCUCCCAGAGAAGCAGAGCUCUGACGCCACCACUUUCGGUGGCGUGUCUGCCACGUAACCUCAGCUGAAACACACGCGGAAUUUUAACCACCCCUUCCGGGGUUCCAGACUUGGCACAGGAACAGUUCAGCCAAGUGUUUGGCCAGUCCGAAAGACUGGAUUUUUAAAAAAAUGCCAUUUAUUUACUAUCUUCUUUGACCACAGCAGAUAAAAGGGAAACCUUGGUAGUCAUUUAUUGUGUUAUUUAUUUUUAUAUUUUCCCCGUUCUGCUUUUGAAAAGAACUACCUCCUCAGACCUCCGAGAAAGCCUUAGGUGUGGCUGAGUUAUAGAGGAAGACAAUGUGAAGUAAGGUAAUUUUGAAGCAUACCCUAACAAGUCAGACCUGUGCAAAUCAAUGUGCCCUGUUGAGGAGCUGCAAGACAAAUCGUCCAAUUGUUGAGACACCAAAGUGCUCCUUAACACGAAGCCAUUUAGCUGUCCUGUAAUGCUCGUUGAAGUAGCUUAUUUGCGGGAGGGAGGUGUGUGCAUCAGACGAGGACCUAUACGUAUUUUUAUCUUGUUCCCCAGAACAUGGUUUGCCUCUCUGUGCAUGGAUGACUGAUUUCUAUGGACCCGUACUUCUCGUUUCCAGGUAGCUCUUCCUCCUUUUGCUUAGGCUGCCUCAAAAGACUCAAGGCAUGCCCCAGAAAUGGGUUUCGAAUCGCCUGCUUUACAGCCACACCCAGACAUCCUGCGGCAGCUCAGCUCAGCACAUUCAGAACCAGAUUUGUGAUUGUCUCCCUCCAGCCUGCUCCCGUUUCUGUUACGGUUAUCAUGAUCUGUCUCUGUGAACCUUCAAGUAGAUGACUUGGCAGGUUAGAGCACCGGCCGCUGACCUUGUCCUGCUUGGCUGAGACUUGACCCGACUAAGGACAUGGAAGGAACGAAGAGAAAACAAGCAAGCGACAGAAGGGCUGGGAUCAGGUGGGCUGUGCACACUGUGAUGGAGCUGCGAUGGCUGUAAAUACCAGGCUGAAGUAUCAUCAACCCUUUAUAAGCAAUUAUACUUGUACACACAGACAUACAUGCAUACAUACAUCUGUGCAUACAUACAUCUGUGCAUACAUACAUACGUGCACAGACCAUAGCAAUACACACAAUCAGUAAGUAAAUUUAAUUUUUCUUUAUCUUUGAGAAUUUCAUACAUGUCUACAAUGAAAUAUGAUUAUAUAUACUCCUCAUUUCCUCUAACUUCCUUCGUGUACCCCCUAACACGUCCCACAAAGAACCUCACGUCUCUUUUUAAAACAAUCAUUAAAUCCAGUUGUGCUGCCCAUAUAUACAUGGUGUAAGAGGAGCUACUGGAACAUGGGAAUCACUGGCCACACCCCCUACAAAGAAUAAAUCUUUCCCCAAAACUA
rnacentral:sRNA from 1 species